rnacentral:misc_RNA from 1 species
GAUGAAGAACGUAGUGAAAUGCGAUAAGUAAUGUGAAUUGCAGAAUUCAGUGAAUCAUCGAAUUUUUGAACGCACAUUGCGCCCCCUGGUAUUCCGGGGGGCAUGCCUGUUCGAGCGUCAUUUCACCACUCAAGCGUCGCUUGGUAUUGGGCAACGCGGUCCGCCGCGUGCCUCAAAUCGACCGGCUGGGUCUUCUGUCCCCUAAGCGUUGUGGAAACUAUUGGCUAAAGGGUGCUCGGGAGGCUACGCCGUAAAACAAACCCAUUUCUAAGGUUGACCUCGGAUCAGGUAGGGAUACCCGCUGAACUUAAGCAUAUCAAUAAGCGGAGGA